rnacentral:lncRNA from 1 species
CCUUGCCUCAUGCCACUCUAGAAAUUAUUGCCCGGACCACGCCAGGAAGACCAGCCACAAACCCGAUAACAUGCCACAUUAAUCCAUGUAUUUCAUGAAUCUCCGAUUACACGUGUCCAUCAUGCAUGUACUUCACGAUUUGUGCUGGUCUAUCAAAACGUGGUCCAGGCAUUAAUUUCUCUUUGCCACUCUCACGAUUUCGACCAAGUUCACCAAUACUUGAUCGAGGCUCUCCAUCGCGCAUCCAGGACUUUGAAAUGAAGCUUCAUGAGGAAGAAAGAGUGGCCAUGUAAAUCC